GCAAUGCCGCGUGAGUGAUGAAGGCCUUAGGGUUGUAAAGCUCUUUUACCAGGGAUGAUAAUGACAGUACCUGGAGAAUAAGCUCCGGCUAACUCCGUGCCAGCAGCCGCGGUAAUACGGAGGGAGCUAGCGUUGUUCGGAAUUACUGGGCGUAAAGAGUACGUAGGCGGUGAUUCAAGUCAGAGGUGAAAGCCUGGAGCUCAACUCCAGAACUGCCUUUGAAACUAGAUCGCUAGAAUUGUGGAGAGGUUAGUGGAAUUCCGAGUGUAGAGGUGAAAUUCGUAGAUAUUCGGAAGAACACCAGUGGCGAAGGCGACUAACUGGACACAUAUUGACGCUGAGGUACGAAAGCGUGGGGAGCAAACAGGAUUAGAUACCCUGGUAGUCCACGCCGUAAACCGAUGAUAACUAGCUGUUCGGGGUCUACGAUCCUGAGUGGCGCAGCUAACGCAUUAAGU
rnacentral:rRNA from 1 species